UAAAUUAAUGAAGUCAUAAUUAUAUUCUGUAAUUUAAUACAAAUAUUUAUUUAUACAAAUAAUAAAGUCUUUGCUUGAUAUACACAAAUCUAUGUGAGAAUGCAGGAAUAUUUUGUGUAAUAUACAAGAAAAUCUAUAAAUAUUAAUCACUCUGUGUAUACUGUGCUUGGAAGCAGAAGAGAUUGAUAAAUCAUUAAAUAAGAAAAUGAUAAAGAUUAAAAGGCUUUAAUAUAGUUAAAUUAUAAUAAAGAUAUAUCCAGUUUGUAUAUUUAUAAUUUUCUUUAGUAAAAUAUUACUUUCUUUGGUUAUUAUAUAUAUAAAAAAAAAGAUUUCUAAAAUCUACAAAGUAGAAAUUAUAAUGUUUUAAGAAAUUAUUGAAAUGUUUAAAUUAAUAUUUUUUGAUACUCGUAUUUUACACAAUUUAGUUUACACUUCUAAAAUAAAUGUAUGUUAUACUUUGCUGAUGUGUGUGUUGUAUUUUAGGAAUGAAGUCAUUUUAUAAUAGCAAUUUUGCGUAGCUCUGUGAAGUGCCAGCUAUGCAAAAUAAAUAUACUGUUGUCAAAAUAAAA